ACUCAUAUGAAUGUGCAUCCAUUCUAAAUAAUUAUAAGUCGAGAGACAAAGAAUUUCGAAUUGAAUGAAUUCGUAUUCGUUACUGUCCUAUUUAUGUUAUUUGUCGAGAUUGGUCUGUAAGAACCAUCGAGUCUUCGUCUCACUCGUAUCAAAUCCUAGCAACUCUAAUGCUCGUGCAAUUAAUUUAGCUUCUAAACCUCAUGAACUCAAACUCAUUAGUUCGCUCUGGAUCUUCUCAAUUCAUCUUUCAGCUUCAUUGCUCUAAAAGCAAGCCUUGAAUGAAUUUCGAAAUUGCUUUACUUAAUGGGAGAGAACAUCGGGCUUGGUUCCGUACUCCCUCAAUCCAAGAAGGAACUCCACAAGCAAGGAACCAUGCAUGACUUUCCGAGCAUAUUAGCGAAAAGGCUCAUACAGAGGCAAGGAGGCCAAAAGCUUUCUUUAUUUGUUAGCUUCCCGAAGAGAGGAGAUGCGUCUUCGAAUCAACCCUUGAACCUAAACCUCGGAA
rnacentral:lncRNA from 1 species